GAACUUUUCGAGUUCCAAUAAUUUUUUACAUUUUUUGUCAAACGCAAGUAGUCUUAUUCAAUUCACCACAAAAAUAUCAACUACUCGAUUGCUCUUACAAAUAUUUUGAGUGAAAUCUCUUUUAAGAGAUUAUAAAACUACGUUAGGGGAGAAGUAGCUAGCAAAAUAAUCCCUCUUCCAUUGAAGCCUUUUAAAUUCUUACGAGCUGUAUGACGAGCUGUAGAAUUUUUUACUGUGUAGUGAAUUACCUCUCUCUGCUGAUACUAAGCUUAUCAAUCCAGUAAUCAAGCUGACCAGCAACACAUUCAGAACCUGUGGAGCCAUAUGACCUGAAUUUUUUAAUUGAAUUUUCGACCCCUAGAUAUUCGUAGACAUCCUUGUCAAAUAUCGGAUGUAGACUGUUCAACUCGUCAAGGCUAAGGUCUUGAAGCUCACAGUUUCUGGAAACA
rnacentral:misc_RNA from 1 species